UUACCGCAGUGUUCAGAAUAAAGUCGAAACUACUCUGUUCGUUCAAUAUGUGAACGGUCGAGAGUGGAUUUUUUUAUGAUUUCUUUUUUUAAAUAAACAUUUUUCUCAUGGUUAACCGAAUUUUAAAUCGAGGAAUUAUGACCCUAACAAGUACCCCGUGUGACCUGAGUACCAUGAGUCUGUUUCAAGACCUGAAACUGAAGAGGCGCAAAAUAGAUUCGAGGUGUAGCAGUGACGGUCAGACUUGGAAUAAAUACCAGGCGUGAAGUACUCGAACACUUAGUCAAUCGCAGUAAAUAUUUC